AGGGGAGCUCUGAGGUAAUGGUGGAAAGGGAAGGAGCUGCGCUGUGUCUCAGAGAAGUGUUGACAGGCUUCUAUUCUGCCCCAUAAAUCCCUUGAAAAGUAUAAUAAAAUCAAAUUACCAGCAUCCUCAGAUAAGGCAAGGCCAGGGGAGCAGCCUGGCUAUGAGUGACAGAAGCAGGCAGAACAUUCCACUGAAGUCCCAUCAUCUGGUGCACGAGCAAUUCAGACUGAGAGGCGAAGCAGGAGCUGUCUUAUAAGAUUCAUGAGACUUUCAGUGUCUACACAGAGGAAUCUAAAUUCAUUGUGAGGAAAUAAUCAAUCACACAAGAGUUUUAACACUGUAUUAAAAUGUUUUACAAUUU